CAUGCCAGCAGCACUGUUUGCUACAUGAUCCUGAUGCUUGGAUCAUGCCACGUAGCCGGCACAGCCUGCAGGCUGUGUCAGUGGAAUAUAUAUAUAUACUGGAUUUGGGAGCUAUGGAAACGGGAAAACUGAGCUUAAAAGAGUCAAACAACAUAGGAAGCUAAAAACCAGAUCAGCUCAUUGAACUCAGUGUACUUAAUUCUAACCCUUAAAAACUGUGACCAUCUUCCAUUCCAACACAUCACUCAGGUGCUCUACUGGAUUUGUGAUCCAGUUGCUCCUGUGUUAUCCUGCUGGAAGCGGCCAUUAGAAGAUGGAUGGGUGCACUGUGGUCAUACAGGGAUGGACAUGAUCUGCAGCAAUACUCAGAUCAGGUGUGUUUGGUUAACCUUUGGCUCAAAGCACAAAUGUGGAAAGAAGGCUUCAGAGGGAGCUGUGGUUUCUCAGCUAUUGAAUGUAAUAUACAUUAAAAUAUGACCUAAUGUCUACAUCAUCCUGCAUACUCUGAAAUUCCUAAAUGUGUAUAUUUUGCAGUGAGUGGGCAGGAUAAUCACAAAUGUGCAAAGGUGUUUUAAUAAAGCUCAUGAUUUCAUUCUGAGACUUUUGUUAGUGGCUGUGCAUCUCAAGACUGUGUUUCAUUUUGGAAACUUAUUCAAGCUUGAUGUAUUUUGCUGCUUAAUGCACAAUUACCAGUGUCUUGUAUAUAACUAUUGGACAUCCCUCUGCUGACAGCACACUUCUCUGUUUUUCUGAAUCUGUACAGCCAGCUUUUAAAA